rnacentral:lncRNA from 10 species
UUCUUGCUUGUCUUGGUUCUGAGUUUUAGGGAAGUCCCUAUUAAGAUAGGUAUAUUUCAUUAUGCUAAUGAAUUAUCUUUUUGAAUUCUUUUUUAAAAAUAAUUUUGAUCAGAAAAGGAUACUGCAUUUCGUCACUCUUCCAGCAUCCAUAAAGAUGACCAUUUGUAUUUUCUUAUUUGACCCACUAAUGUGAUUGCAUUUUAUUAAUAGGACUUUCCUGCAUUCCUACAGCAAAUCCUGGUUGGUCAUGGUGGAGACUGUAAAGCAAUCAUUCUCAAGGAGGGGCUUUUUCACGCAGUAUGCCUGGAGAGAGGCUGCACCACCACCGCGUUCCUCCCCGAUGAGUCCAGUGAGCCACGGCUGCGGGCUACGGUGUUGUGGUGCUCGGGUGUGUUGGAAGGAAAUGGGAUCUUACUCCAAUGAGAAGCAGAGAAAUGCUAGCCCCGGGAGAAGACCUAGGAAAAGUGUAACAAGAGGCACCAUCUGUCACUGAGCCCCUCUCUCUAUGCCAGGCUCCGAGCCAGGUGCUUUACAUUAUGGGAGCUACUCCUGAACAACUGUGUGAGAUACUGGUAUCCCUUUACAGAUAAG